UUCAUUCAGGACAAUUUAUAAAUAAGUUUUUUUUUUUGUUUUUUUUUCUUUCUUCCCAGACUGAGAUAUUGAAUAUUGAAAUGCUCGUAUAAACAGAGGUUGUUUUGUAAACCAUAUCCGAAACAGAUGUUAAACUUGGGUCUCUGUCCAGGCAACAAUAACAGCAAGUGUUUAAACAAUUUUCCCUUAAGGAAAUUACAAAGCCGCACAAAAGUUGUUAGUUGCGUUCACGGUUACAAUUUCUCAUUCCAUUCCAGGUCAUGUGUUCUCUUCCGAGCAAAUGUUUGAUCUGUAAUUGGCUGUUAGGUCACGGCUCAGUUCAAAUGCUUCAUUCAUUAAACAAAGCUGAAAGAAACUUUUUAUGAAAUAAAACGGCAGACAGCGCUUUGCAAUAGUGUUCACACUUAUUGAACUUUUUCGCGUUUUGUCACAUAGCGCCUACAAACUUCAGUGUAUCUUAUUGUUGUGAUAGACCAACACACAGUAGUGUACUGCUAAAGUGGAGGAGAAAUGAUGCAUGACGUUUCACAAUAUUUUUUUAAUGCAACUUUGAGAAGUGUGUCGUCAUUAAAUGAGUCAGUGCGUUAUAAAACCAUCUUUCCCUGCAGUUGCAAUUGCAAGGUCACAAAUAGCUCAAGCUCUGUCAAAUUAGUUGUAGAAGUCCAAUUGGAUUUAGGUCCAGAGUUUGACUGGGCGAUUUUAACCGACAAAAUAUGCUUUGAUCUAAAUUAUUCUAUGGUUGCUGUUGCUGUAUGUUGUGGGUCAUUAUGCUGCUGGAAGCUGAAGCUCCUCACCAGCCUCAAGUCUUUUGCAGCAUCUAACAAGUUUUACUCCUGGAUUGCACUUUAUUUUUUCCAUCCGUCUUCCUAUCUGGUCAGAUUUGUUUCUCCAUAAAGAAGAACAUCCUCACAACAUAAUGCUGCCACCACCAUGUCUAAGGAUGGUGGUGACAAUGGUCACUGUGGUGUGCAGUGUUAGUUUUCAGUCACACAUCUUGCACAUAGGGUAGAAAGUUCCAAUUUUGGUCUCAUCUGACAAAAAAAUUGUUUUUCCAUGUGAUGCAGUUUGUAGUAUAUAGUACGUACUUCUAAUGGAUUAUUUUGUUCCUAGUCUUCUAUUAAUUCCAGAUUUAUAAUCAAUCGUUGUGCUGUCUACAGAAUCUUUGAAAUGCGUUACCACGAGCCUCCUUUCUAAUUAAUUCUGUUCUUGCCAAAGCCUGUAGGAUCAGGUGUUUGUCACUGCAGGUUUGCAGUUGUGCCAAGCUCUUCUCAUUUUCACAUGUAGAUUCAACAGUGCUUUGUAAGGUUUUCAAGGCAUUAGAUAUUACUUUACAGCCCAACAAUGACUUAAAUCUUUUCACAAUGUUGGUCCCUGUCCUGCAGGAGUGUUUUCUAUGAAACCACUCAGGUCCUUACAGGACAAACGAAUUUAUAGUUUUGUAACUAGCUGAUUUCCAAGGAAAGUUAAUUUGACUUAACAGUUUACAAAUUCAUUUCCGAUGUUUGCACAACUCAAAGAGUGUUUUUCAGGAUUUGAGUCUGUUUAGAUGGUUGAUUCAUUGAACUGUCAAAAAAAUGUAAGCUUGGUGGAGAAGUUUAACUUUGUAUUUUAGAACAACCAUAUAUGAUAAUAAUUUCUAGUCACAAUGACUUCAAUUCUGAGAGAUAAAAAAUUACUAAAAACAAAAGCAAUAAUAAUUGGUUUAUUAAUAUUGUUUUUACAUAGCAAACACUGUAGGAGCAGCAGAGGACCACAAGUUCUGGAGUAUGUCAAUGUGUGUGUAUGCGCAUGUGUGUGUGUGUGUUGUGUUCAGCAGCAGGGAGGAAUAGCCGGUCCUGUUUUCUCCUUUGAGUUGGCUACGCCACAGUCACACGGGCAACUCAUCACCAGUGACCAGUAGACUUGAACAUUGCUCCAACUUGACAAUUUCUCCUCAGCAAAAGGCAAAGAAAACACACUAAAUAAUCCUUCUUAUUGCCCAAACAUUCAGAAUAAGAAAUAAAAAUAUUUAAAUAUUUGGAUGGCAUUCAUUUAAUAAAGGAAAACUAUUGCCUUCUUUCAUUCACAGAGGGUAGCCACAUUUUUACUUUUAUAGUGACUCACUCAGGAUCCCUCCUUUUCUACUUAGCUUUCCCCUUGGAUAAACAGUUUAAAAGUGCUAUAGAUACGCCCCGUCCUCCGUCCAAUU